GAUGAAGAACGUAGUGAAAUGCGAUAAGUAAUGCGAAUUGCAGAAUUUCCGUGAGUCAUCGAAUCUUUGAACGCACAUUGCGCCCACUGGUAUUCCAUGGGGCAUGCCUGUUCGAGCGUCAUUUGUACCUUCAAGCUUUGCUUGGUGUUGGGUGUUUGUCCUGAGGGACUCGCCUUAAAGUAAUUGGCAGCCAGUGUUUUGGUUUUGAAGCGCAGCACAAGUCGCGAUUCAAGGCUAUACGCCAGCUUCCACAAGCCUUUUUCACUUUUGACCUCGGAUCAGGUAGGGAUACCCGCUGAACUUAAGCAUAUCAAUAAGCGGAGGA
rnacentral:misc_RNA from 1 species